CCCGCUAAUUUUAAGCAUAUCAAUAAGUGGAAGAAAAGAAACUUACAAGGACUCCCCUUGUAAUAGCGAGAGAAUUGGGAAGAGCCCAGCUUGAGAAUCGGGCGUCGUCGACUUCUAAAUUGUAGUCUAGAGAAGCAUCCUCAGUAGCAGAUCGGGCACAAGUCCCCUAGAAGGGGGCGCCAGAGAGGGUGAGAACCUCAUUCUACUCGAACCCUGUCACACCACGAGGCAUUGUCAACGCGUCGGGUUGUUUAGGAAUGCAGCCUCAAUCGGGUGGUAAAUUCUAUCCAAGGCUAAAUAUGGGCGAGAGACCGAUAGCAAACGAGUACCGCGAGGGAAAAAUAAAAAAGACCUUGAAAAGAGAGUCAAAUAGUGCUUGAAAUUGUCGAGAAGGAAGCGGAUGGAGGCCGACGAUGUACCCCAGUCGGAUGUAGAACGGUGACGAGCCGGUCCGCCAAUCAACUUAAGGCAUGGACCGAUGUGGAUUGAGAUGGCGGCCUAUGCCCAGGCCUUUGUUACGCCUGUGGAGACGUCGCCAUCCCGAUCGUGGUUGGCAGCUCGCGCCUUCUGGCAGGUUUCGACAUUUGCGCGCUCCUGGCAUCGGACUGUGGGCUCCCCAUUCGACCCGUCUUGAAACACAA
rnacentral:ncRNA from 1 species